UCCCCAGACAACGCUGCAAUGCCUUCUGGGACAUGUGCUAAGUUUGAGAAGUUACAGUCAUCUCAGAGACAACAAUAAACCACCCCAUGAUGGUCUCUCAACUUUUUGUGUUCCUCUCAAAGAAAUCUUGGAAAGAAGGUGCUUGGAAACUCCCUCUGGGAAUCUGGCUGAUACACUGUGAGCAUCUAUACCGCACACAGACAGAAAUGUGAGCUGAGCUAUCACCAACAAUGAUGGCCAUAUGAGUGAGCCAGCUGGUGCCUUCCAGCCCAGCAGAGCCUCUGGGUAA